AUUCCAUGUGUAGCGGUGAAAUGCGUAGAUAUAUGGAGGAACACCAGUGGCGAAGGCGGCUCUCUGGUCUGUAACUGACGCUGAGGCUCGAAAGCGUGGGGAGCGAACAGGAUUAGAUACCCUGGUAGUCCACGCCGUAAACGAUGAGUGCUAAGUGUUGGAGGGUUUCCGCCCUUCAGUGCUGCAGCAAACGCAUUAAGCACUCCGCCUGGGGAGUACGACCGCAAGGUUGAAACUCAAAGGAAUUGACGGGGGCCCGCACAAGCGGUGGAGCAUGUGGUUUAAUUCGAAGCAACGCGAAGAACCUUACCAGGUCUUGACAUCCUUUGACCACUCUAGAGAUAGAGCUUCCCCUUCGGGGGCAAAGUGACAGGUGGUGCAUGGUUGUCGUCAGCUCGUGUCGUGAGAUGUUGGGUUAAGUCCCGCAACGAGCGCAACCCUUAUUGUUAGUUGCCAUCAUUUAGUUGGGCACUCUAGCGAGACUGCCGGUGACAAACCGGAGGAAGGUGGGGAUGACGUCAAAUCAUCAUGCCCCUUAUGACCUGGGCUACACACGUGCUACAAUGGGAAGUACAACGAGUUGCGAAGUCGCGAGGCUAAGCUAAUCUCUUAAAGCUUCUCUCAGUUCGGAUUGUAGGCUGCAACUCGCCUACAUGAAGCCGGAAUCGCUAGUAAUCGCGGAUCAGCACGCCGCGGUGAAUACGUUCCCGGGCCUUGUACACAC
rnacentral:rRNA from 1 species